rnacentral:ncRNA from 1 species
CAAGUCCCAUCCGGCCAAAGUCACAGCGGCGAAGCCGGGGCGAGUCUUGCGGGCGUCGCGGUAACGGGGGGGCUGAAGUGUAGACAGAUACGGGUGCGGGAAUGAGCCUCAAAAGUUGAAUGAUCACGGAAGGCCGAGUGGGUUCUGUAGAGCG